UCGGCUUAGAGUUUGAUCAUGGCUCAGAUUGAACGCUGGCGGCAGGCUUAACACAUGCAAGUCGAACGGUAUGAGUGCUUGCACUUGACGAGUGGCGGACGGGUGAGUAAUGUAUGGGGAUCUGCCGAAUGGAGGGGGACAACAGUUGGAAACGACUGCUAAUACCGCAUAAUGUCGCGAGACCAAAGCGUUUCGACGUACCAUUUGAUGAACCCAUAUGGGAUUAGCUAGUAGGUAGGGUAAAGGCCUACCUAGGCGACGAUCUCUAGCUGGUCUGAGAGGAUGACCAGCCACACUGGAACUGAGACACGGUCCAGACUCCUACGGGAGGCAGCAGUGGGGAAUAUUGCACAAUGGGGGAAACCCUGAUGCAGCCAUGCCGCGUGUAUGAAGAAGGCCUUAGGGUUGUAAAGUACUUUCGGUAAUGAGGAAGGUGACUAUUAACAUAGUUAAUUGGCGUUAAUUACAGAAGAAGCACCGGCUAACUCCGUGCCAGCAGCCGCGGUAAUACGGAGGGUGCGAGCGUUAAUCGGAAUGACUGGGCGUAAAGGGCAUGUAGGCGGAUGAUUAAGUUAGGUGUGAAAGCCCCGGGCUCAACCUGGGAAUUGCACUUAAAACUGGUCAUCUGGAGUAUUGUAGAGGAAAGGUAAAUUCCACGUGUAGCGGUGAAAUGCGUAGAGAUGUGGAGGAACCGGUGG
rnacentral:rRNA from 1 species